rnacentral:lncRNA from 1 species
UUUGCUAAUGGUAAUGUAAAAAUUUUGUAGCUGAUGUAUGAAGAAGCAAGUCAGGUGGCAAAUGAUGCAGUUGGAAGCAUUAGAACUGUUGCAUCAUUUUGUGCUGAGAAGAAAGUGAUGGAGUUAUACCAAAAGAAAUGUGAUGGUCCUGUAAAAAAAGGAGUUCGGCUCGGACUUGUCAGUGGUGCAGGUUUUGGCUUCUCGUUCUUUAUACUCUAUUGCACAAAUGCAUUCUGUUUCUACAUUGGAUCUAUUCUUGUACAAAAUGGGAAAGCAACAUUUGUAGAAGUUUUCAAAGUAAGAUAUGAAUUGGCCUCUUACUGUUUUCCUGGUUUUUUUUCCCUUGUUUUCAACUUACCUUCAAAAUUUCUCCAGGUUUUCUUCUCGUUGACAAUUGCAGCAGUCGGGGUUUCACAAUCCAGUGCAAUGAGUCCAGACAGUAGCAAAGCCAAGGAUUCAGCAGCUUCAAUAUUUUC